CAGCCGCCACGGGAAUACGAGGGGGGCAAGCGUUGUUCGGAAUUAUUGGGCGUAAAGGGUGCGUAGGCGGUUUGGCAAGUCUUAUGUGAAAUCUCUGAGCUCAACCCAGAGUCUGCAUGAGAAACUGCCGGGCUUGAGUAUGGGAGAGGUGAGUGGAAUUUCCGGUGUAGCGGUGAAAUGCGUAGAUAUCGGAAGGAACACCUGUGGCGAAAGCGGCUCACUGGACCAUAACUGACGCUGAUGCACGAAAGCUAGGGGAGCAAACAGGAUUAGAUACCCCCGUAGUCCCUGUCUCUUAUAA
rnacentral:rRNA from 1 species